UCUGAGCCACCGGGGAACCCCUAUUAUAUACCCUAACUACACAGAACUUACUGUGGCUCAUAUGCAACAUUAUAUAGACUGUAAAAUAUUCUUUGAAAUGCACUUAGUUAGAAGAAUUACAUAAACUUAACACAAAUCAACCAUAACGUUGAGCACAUAGCUGAAGGGUUGCUGAAUACUCCUUAGAUGACGUUUCCUACGACACAGAUUUGGCUCUUUUGCUGAUAUAGACAAAUACUUUAUUCUCUCUCUCAAACUAUUACUGCACAGCACUCUGUAAUAUCACCCUAUUUAUGAGAAUGUAAAAAACCUAAGCCAGAAACCGAGAGUCUGGAGGGCAUCUGAGGCCAGUUCCCUUGAAGGGAACAAUCUAGGUAUAGCCCAGGUCUGCUGCUCUCAUGCUCUCAGACAGCCCUGCAGGCAGAAGACACACCGAUCGGUGUCUUAUUUUCACUUUUCUAUAUGAGCACAGACUACAUGCAGUUGUCAUGGCACCACCGAUACAUAAAACUGUCAUGCCAGCUUGGACCCACAGAGACUGCUUUUUAGAUAAACAGGCACGUUCCCAGCAGAACAGAGAAACUGAGGCAGAAUUCAGUCCCUGACUGCGCUGUACAUACAAUGGGCUCGGUUUGGGGGGCUUCUCUCCCUGGUCCCAAAGUGCCAUUUGCCAUCAAAGCCCCGGGGACUGCAGACACCCUGAGCUGCGCCAGGGGGUUCUCCUCGGUGGGCCUGCCCUGGGCGGUCAGACCCCCUCCCCCCCAUUCUAGAGGUGAGUGGCCUUCAGGACCUGCGGACGCCAGACGUGGAGGGGGUCCAGCCUCGCGGCCGCACCGACCCCACGCGGCCUGAGCGCCGGGCGGGAGCCGAGGCAACGCGAAGGCGGUCCCUUCCGCCGCCACACCCGGUUCAUUCACUCCGGGCUGGCGCCGCCAAGUGAGGGUCCCCGAGAGCGGUCCCGGAUUUCCGCGCCCUGACUUCGCAUCCACAGAUUGCUUUGCAGAUAUGGUCACUGCUGUCUUGAGCUACCGAUGCAGCUGUGCUUCUCCUACGACGCCUCAUGACGCCUCGUGCCAUCAGCCGCAUGAUGCCUCCAAGAUUAGGCUGCAUCUGGUAGAGUGGCCACUGGUGGCCCAGUCUUUAUAGCCCCCACACUGCCUGGGACUGCUUCACGCACAGCAGCUACAGGAGACAUGCUUAUUGACGUGAACAGAUAGGUCCUGAUUCAGAUAGAUUCCAUGGAACAGGGACGCUAAGAAUACCUUGCAUAGAGGAUGACUGUCGCAAUAAAGUAAAAUAAUUGGUAGAAACUGCUUUGCUCAGGGCUGCGCACAAAGCACUCGUUUAAUAUUAGCUAUCUUUAUUAUUAUUGUGGCCAUUACUUGAACUGAAGCAAUGCAUCAGAAUUUAAAUAGUUUUGCCUACUGGUCUUUUGGCUUCUAACAAUUAUAAUAUGGACUCGAGUAAGUUUUGAUGAUUAAAAUAUGGUAUUUAAAAAAA